AUGAAUCCCAUGGGGUACCGCCCCUAUGAUAGCAGUGGGACGGACGAUGAUCUCCCCUCGUCACAAAAUAGAGGACUAAGAGGACGAUCUUUCAGUGGGAAUGGGAGAGCAUCAGCUGGACCGUUUCCUUAUGCAAGGCCACACAAUGAUUUGGAGAGCCAAGUACAUCUGGUUGAGCAAGAGGCGUACACUGGUGUUCUUAGGGCAUUCAAAGUUCAAUCUGAUGCAUUGUCUUGGGAAAAAGAAAGUCUGAUUUCUGAACUCAGGAAGGAACUGAGAGUUUCUGAUGAGGAACACAGGGAGCUAUUAAACAAGGUUAAUGAAGAUGGGGCCAUCCGUGGAAUGAGGGAGCUGAGACAGGGAGGUGGGACCCCGAGUGGGCUGCAUCGUGGCAGCAGAGUUCUUCAUGAUGGAGAACCUGGGCCAACUGCUAAAAGGCAACGACCAUCUCAUUUAAUGCCUUCGCAUUCUUCAGGCCUCCAGUCCCCUGUUAUGUCUUCACAUUCUGUCCCGUCUUCGUCAAAGUGGGGACCAUCUUCAGCAUCAAGGGGGAAAAGAGCAAAGUCGACUACGCCACUGGCAUUACCAUCCAUGGAUCCGACCUCAUUGAUUAGCCGGAAAGUUUUUACAAGAUGGCCAGAUGAUAACAACUUCUAUGAGGCCACUAUAACCCGUUACAAUCCUGCUACAGGCGAACAUGCUCUUGUCUAUGACAUGGGCAAAACAACUGAGUCAUGGGAGUCUGUCAGGCUUUGUGAUAUGAGACCUGAAGAUAUAAGAUGGGAACGUGAUGAUCAAGGCAUCUCAAAUCGAGAUAGUUGGGGCCCUUCUGGUCCAUUGUUGAACAGGAACCAAAACAACAAUGGUAGAGGGAGACUAUCUCAGAAUGAGCAUCCAAAUAAAUAUGGUCCACCUCAAAAUGGCAUCAACAGGAAUAUUGGUGAAAUUGACGUGCCUAACACUCAGAGUGUCGUGAUUGAGGUGGAGAGGGUAUUGUCAAAUCCAAAUAUGCAUGAAAUUGAAAAGGCAAAGAAACUGCUAACAGACCAGGAGCAGUCAUUACUUGAUGCAAUUGCCAGUCUUGACGAUGCAUCAGAUAGCGAAAGUGAGGAUAAGGCCAUGGAAGCCCUAAUGGGUUCUGGUGGUGAUCACACGGGUAGGAACGGCAUUGCCUGUUAG
rnacentral:rRNA from 1 species